CGUAGGGGGCAAGCGUUGUCCGGAAUUACUGGGCGUAAAGGGCGUGUAGGUGGGUAAUUAAGUCAUGGGUGAAAACUGCGAGCUCAACUUGCAGACUGCCUAUGAAACUGGAUAUCUUGUGGGCAGGAGAGGAAAGUGGAAUUCCUAGUGUAGCGGUGAAAUGCGUAGAUAUUAGGAGGAACACCAGUGGCGAAGGCGACUUUCUGGACUGUCCCUGACACUGAGGCGCGAAAGCUAGGGGAGCGAACGGGAUUAGAUAUCCCGGUAGUCCUAGCCGUAAACGAUGGGUACUAGGUGUGGGAGGUAUCGACCCCUUCCGUGCCGGAGUUAACACAUUAAGUACCCCGCCUGGGGAGUACGGCCGCAAGGUUG
rnacentral:rRNA from 1 species